GACGAACGCUGGCGGCGUGCUUAACACAUGCAAGUCGAGCGGUAAGGCCCUUUCGGGGGUACACGAGCGGCGAACGGGUGAGUAACACGUGGGUGACCUGCCCUCAGCUCUGGGAUAAGCCUGGGAAACCGGGUCUAAUACCGGAUAUGACUCCAUGACGCAUGCUGUGGGGUGGAAAGCCUUGUGCGGCUGAGGAUGGGCCCGCGGCCUAUCAGCUUGUUGGUGGGGUGANGGCCUACCAAGGCGACGACGGGUAGCCGGCCUGAGAGGGCGACCGGCCACACUGGGACUGAGACACGGCCCAGACUCCUACGGGAGGCAGCAGUGGGGAAUCUUGCGCAAUGGGCGAAAGCCUGACGCAGCGACGCCGCGUGAGGGAUGACGGCCUCGGUCGUAA
rnacentral:rRNA from 1 species